UACGGAGGGUGCGAGCGUUGUCCGGAAUCACUGGGCGUAAAGGGCGCGUAGGCGGCUUGGGAAGUCCGUGGUGAAAGCUCGAGGCUCAACUUCGAGUCGGCCAAGGAUACUCCUAAGCUCGAGUCGACUAGAGGCAGAUGGAAUUCCGGGUGUAGCGGUGGAAUGCGUAGAGAUCCGGAAGAACACCGGUGGCGAAGGCGGUCUGCUGGGGUCGAACUGGACGCUGAGGCGCGACAGCGUGGGGGAGCAAACAGG
rnacentral:rRNA from 1 species